rnacentral:rRNA from 1 species
AAAGGUAGCAUAAUCACUUGUCCCCUAAAUAGAGACUAGUAUGAACGGCCAAAUGAAGGUUUACCUGUCUCUUGUAGCCAAUCUAUGAAACUAAUCUUUUAGUACAAAAGCUAAAAUAAAAACACAAGACGAAAAGACCCUGUGGAACUUUUAAACGACGAACAACACAUGUUAAUAUCGCUUUUAGUUGGGGCAACUAUGGAAUAAAACACAACUUCCAAUAAUAUUUAAGGCACACACACCUAACACACCCACCUGACCCAGUCAUACUGAUUAAAGAAACAAGCUACCCCAGGGAUAACAGCGCCAUCCCCCCUUAGAGCCCCCAUCGACGGGGGGGUUUACGACCUCGAUGUUGGAUCAGGGCACCCAAACAGUGCAGAAGCUGUUAAAGGUUUGUUUGUUCAACAAUUAAAGCCCUACGUGAUCUGAG